rnacentral:SRP_RNA from 1 species
ACCGGGCAUGGUGGCGUGUGCCUGUAGUCCCAGCUACGCAGGAAGCUGAGGCUGGAGGAUCUCUUGAGCCCAGGAGUUCUGGGCUGUAGUGUGCUAUGCUGAACAGGUGUCCAUACUAAGUUUGGCAUCAGUAUGGUGAUCUCCCGGGAGUGGGGGACCACCAGGUUGCCUAAGGAGGGGUGAACCGGCCCAGGUAGGAAACGAAGCAGGUCAGAACUCCCGUGCUGAUCAGUAGUGGGAUUGUGCCUGUGAAUAGCCACUGCAUUCCAGCCUGGGCAACAUAGCAAGACCUCAUCUCU